rnacentral:rRNA from 1 species
GAUCAUGGCUCAGAUUGAACGCUGGCGGCAUGCUUUACACAUGCAAGUCGAACGGUAGAGGGGCAACCCUUGAGAGUGGCGAACGGGUGAGUAAUAUAUCGGAACGUGCCCAGUCGUGGGGGAUAACGUAGUGAAAAUUACGCUAAUACCGCAUACGAUCUAAGGAUGAAAGCGGGGGAUCGCAAGACCUCGCGCGAUUGGAGCGGCCGAUAUCAGAUUAGGUAGUUGGUAGGGUAAAGGCCUACCAAGCCAACGAUCUGUAGCUGGUCUGAGAGGACGACCAGCCACACUGGAACUGAGACACGGUCCAGACUCCUACGGGAGGCAGCAGUGGGGAAUUUUGGACAAUGGGCGAAAGCCUGAUCCAGCCAUUCCGCGUGCAGGAUGAAGGCCCUCGGGUUGUAAACUGCUUUUGUACAGAACGAAAAGGUCUCUAUUAAUACUAGGGGCUCAUGACGGUACUGUAAGAAUAAGCACCGGCUAACUACGUG